GGAUGUGAGGGAAAUCUGGCUGUGACAUCUGUCACCCUAUUGAUCACCAGGGUUAAUUUGGCUCAUCUAACUGGUUGGUGGGUGUUCCCUUCCUCCAUGUACAUCCCUCUGGAACCUGUGCGUUCAGGUCAAAAAAAGAUGAUCUUUAAUAGAGAAGGACUGUCCUUCAGUCAAGGGUAUAUUGAGUAGCUGCGCAUUUCUGCUAGAACCUCCAAACAAGUUCUCAAGAAACAUUAGUCUUCUUGGCUAAUGAGAAAAUAAUUUAAAUUUUUUUCAACACCUAGCCUUAAAAUACAAGGCAAAGG
rnacentral:snRNA from 1 species